rnacentral:rRNA from 1 species
UACAGCGGGGGCGAGCGUUAAUCGGAAUUACUGGGCGUAAAGCGUGCGUAGGCGGUUAUUUAAGUCGGGUGUGAAAGCCCCGGGCUCAACCUGGGAAUUGCAUUCGAGACUGAAUAGCUAGGGUACGGUAGAGGGAAGCGGAAUUUCCGGUGUAGCGGUGAAAUGCGUAGAUAUCGGAAGGAACACCAGUGGCGAAAGCGGCUUCCUGGACCAGUACCGACGUUCAGGCACGAAAGCGUGGGGAGCAAACAGG